GAAAAUGGUCCAAAAAACAAAACAAGUCCAACAUAUUUCAGAGCACCAAUUAGACAAUUUCAUAAGAAAACGAUAAGCACAGACACAUACAUCAUGAAAGUACCAAUAUCAUUUCGAUGCAUUCAAGUUCAGAGAUAAAAAAGCACUAUCAGACUUCUUAAAAGUUAGAGAAUUGCAAUACAGCCCCAGCGAGAUGCCAUCCAUCCCUUGCAUGUGAAAAAAACAAUCCAAAC
rnacentral:lncRNA from 1 species